UACCGCGGUUACACGAGAGGCUCAAGUUGAUAGUCAACGGCACAAAAGGUGGUUAGGUAGAACACUAAAUUAAGGCUGAACGCUUUUCUUACAGCUGUUAUAAGCUCCUAAAAGUAUGAAAACCAGCUACGAAAGUGGCCUUAUAAAGUCCGAACCCACGAAAGCUAAGAAA
rnacentral:rRNA from 1 species